rnacentral:lncRNA from 1 species
GAGGGAUUGGACCCAGGUCUCUUACAUUGCAGACAGAUUAUUUAUUUUUUUUUUUAACCAUCUGAGCCUCCAGGGAAUCCCCUUCAGCUGCAAGAAUUUCCCCCCACCCCUUCCUCCUCUCCACCUUCUUCAUGGCACCAGUUUCCACACACUUCAAAGCAUGAAGUCAGGAAACCAUGGAAAAUCACAGGAGACCAGGACUAGAGCUGCGAGGACUUCGUAUUUCCCCAACCGGAUGACUUCUUCCCAGUCACAUCAGCAGCUAAAUUUACCGAGUAAGUGAAGAAUUAAAAGAGCCAAGAAGAAAGCCUGACUCUGGAAACUGAAUAUCCUUACCUGGGAGAGUUGUAAAGAAAAGUGAAAGUCACUCCUACUCUUUGUGACCCAUGGGCUGUAGCCCACCAGGCUACUCUGUCCACGGAAUUCUCCAGGUAUGAGUACUGAAGUGGGUAGCCAUUCCCUUCUCCAAGGGAUCUUCCUGACCAAGAGUCAAACCUGGGUCUCCCACAUUGCAGGCAGAUUCUUUACUGUCUGAGCCACCAGGGAGAGUCUUAAACAAAAAAUUAAAAGCUGAAGUCUUCAUUUGGAGGGAUUUCACCACAAUCAGGAUUCAGAUUCAUAUUGUUAUACUUCUAUUAAACAUCAGCCUGUCUAGAAACUCCUAACCCAAAGUGAAAGUGAAAGUCACUCAGUCGUGUCCAACUCUUUGCGACCCCAUGGACUAUACAGUCCAUGGAAUUCUCCAGGCCAGAAUACUGGAGUGGGUAGCUAUUCCCUUCUCCAGGGGAUCUUCCCAAGCCUAGGACUGAACCCAGAUCAGUCCUAGGGGAUCGAACCCGGGUCUCCUGUGUUGCAGGUAGAUUCUUUACCAGCUGAGCCACAGGGAAGACAACUCAGUGAAAUAAACCAGGUGGUGAUGACUUCA